CUGGUAGUGGCAAUGGUGACAGUGAAGUGCAGCGGACUAUGCUGGAGCUUCUCAACCAGCUGGAUGGAUUUGAAGCAUCAAAUAAAAUAAAGGCUGUGUGCACAGAAUCUGGGAUGUUUGCUCUGAGGGAGAGGAGGGUUGAUGUAACACAAGAAGAUUUUGAGAUGGUAGUGGCAAAGGUAAUGAAGAAGGAGACCGAGAAAAACAUGUCAUUGCGGAAGCUAUGGAAGUAGUGUGUCUCCAUGUUAAUGUUUUGUUUCACUCCACCACCCUGAAUAUAAUUGAUCCGUGGCUUUGUUCUUCACACACAGCCAACAGCUCUGUUCUUUGUAUGGAUAUAAAAGCCACAUGGGGGUGCCUACACUUUGUUGAAGUUUUUUAAAUACCACUGGCAUCUCUGUUUAUUUUGUUAAAUAUUCUUUUGUGAUACAUUUUUAUGUAAUAUGUGUUUUACUUCAAGUAUCUGACAAGAAUGUCCGUAGACAAUGACUGUCAAUCUGUUAUCAAUCUAUUGGUUAGACGACCAGAAUGAUAAUUAAAAA